AUUUAUUAUUCGUAUAUUUUAUUUUUGAAUCGGCAAAACUAACACGCCUAUUCUAGCCGCGCCGCCGGCACCGGCGCCGGGACUCCAUUUCGCCGACUACAGUCUUGAGCCCGACUAUGUCUCCUUCCUAUGUAGCCAAUGGGACAAACAUUGCAAAGUUCAAUCAUCUGCACAUGAAAAAAAGCGAGCUAGUGCUAUUUUUCUUAACAUCGAUUGCCAAAGUGCAAGGUGAAGCUGGCAGGAUCCACGAAUGGCUAUUAUUUCUGUUUUCUGUCAUGAAUUAUUAUAUUUUCCUAUAAUUGUCUACCAUGGUUAGGACAAUUGGAAUCUCGCUGCCGUGUUGAUCAUUCAGGCACGCAUGUGCUUGCGCACUAAACAAGAAAGAACUUGUCACCUAACCAUCAAGUUGAAUUGGAAAACUCUCUUAGAUCUGUUUGGGCUCCGAGUCCGUUCUUUUUUCCACUGGUCUCGCUUUUUUUGCAUUCAACUCCACAAGAAAGGAAUUUUAAACUAGGUGUGUUAAGUAUUAUUAUGUAGCG